rnacentral:tRNA from 2 species
GGGCCCAUAGCUCAGCGGUUAGAGCUGCUCCCUCAUAAGGAGAAGGUCCCUGGUUCGAAUCCAGGUGGGCCCA